AUUGAACGCUGGCGGCAGGCCUAACACAUGCAAGUCGAACGAGUGGCGGACGGGUGAGUAAUGUCUGGGAAACUGCCUGAUGGAGGGGGAUAACUACUGUAAACGGUAGCUAAUACCGCAUACCAUCAGAUGUGCCCAGAUGGGAUUAGCUAGUGGGUGGGGUAACGGCUCACCAAGGCGACGAUCCCUAGCUGGUCUGAGAGGAUGACCGGCCAAACUGGAACUGAGACACGGUCCAGACUCCUACGGGAGGCAGCAGUGGGGAAUAUUGCGCAAUGGGCGAAAGCCUGAUGCAGCAAUGCCGCGUGAAUGAAGAAGGCCUUCGGGUUGUAAAGUACUUUCAGCGGGGAGGCGUUACCCGCAGAAGAAGCACCGGCUAACUCCGUGCCAGCCGCCGCGGUAAUUC
rnacentral:rRNA from 1 species